UCGGAUCGCAGGCUGCAACCCGCCUGCGUGAAGUUGGAAUCGCUAGUAAUCGCGGAUCAGCAUGCCGCGGUGAAUACGUUCCCGGGCCUUGUACACACCGCCCGUCACACCAUGAGAGUCGGGAACACCCGAAGUCCGUAGCCUAACCGCAAGGGGGGCGCGGCCGAAGGUGGGUUCGAUAAUUGGGGUGAAGUCGUAACAAGGUAUC
rnacentral:rRNA from 1 species